GACGAACGCUGGCGGCGUGCUUAACACAUGCAAGUCGAACGGUGAAGCGCCUUCCUUUUUGGUGGGUGUGGAUGAGUGGCGAACGGGUGAGUAACACGUGAGUAACCUGCCCCCUUCUUCUGGAUAACCGCAUGAAAGUGUGGCUAAUACGGGAUAUUCUGGGUCUGUCGCAUGAUGGGUCUGGGAAAGAUAUUGUUUCGGUGGGGGAUGGGCUCGCGGCCUAUCAGCUUGUUGGUGGGGUGAUGGCCUACCAAGGCGGUGACGGGUAGCCGGCCUGAGAGGGUGGAUGGUCACACUGGGGCUGAGACACGGCCCAGACUCCUACGGGAGGCAGCAGUGGGGAAUAUUGCACAAUGGGCGCAAGCCUGAUGCAGCGACGCCGCGUGAGGGAUGGAGGCCUUCGGGUUGUGAACCUCUUUCGCCAGUGAAGCAGGCCUGCCUCGUUUGUGGGUGGGUUGACGGUAGCUGGAUAAGAAGCGCCGGCUAACUACGUG
rnacentral:rRNA from 1 species